UCUGACCUCAAAUCAGGAGG
rnacentral:rRNA from 1 species